CAGCCGCCACGGUAAUACGUAGGUGGCAAGCGUUGUCCGGAAUUAUUGGGCGUAAAGGGCUCGCAGGCGGUCUCUUAAGUCUGAUGUGAAAGCCCCCGGCUCAACCGGGGAGGGUCAUUGGAAACUGGGAAACUUGAGUGCAGAAGAGGAGAGUGGAAUUCCACGUGUAGCGGUGAAAUGCGUAGAGAUGUGGAGGAACACCAGUGGCGAAGGCGACUCUCUGGUCUGUAACUGACGCUGAGGAGCGAAAGCGUGGGGAGCGAACAGGAUUAGAUACCCGGGUAGUCCCUGUCUCUUAUAC
rnacentral:rRNA from 1 species